rnacentral:rRNA from 1 species
GGUUAAAAAGCUCGUAGUUGGAUUUCUUCCAGGGGCAGUCGGUCCACACUACGUGUGCGUAUCUGAUUUGACUUUGGAAUCCUCUUGGGGAACAUCUCUGCGCUUAACUGCGUGGAAUGGUAUUCAAGACUUUUACUUUGAGGAAAUUAGAGUGUUCACGGCAGGCAAUCGCCCUGAAUACAUUAGCAUGGAAUAAUAAUAUAGGAUUUCGGUUCUAUUUUGUUGGUUUCUAGAGCUGAAAUAAUGAUUAAUAGGGACACUUGGGGGCAUUCGUAUUAUCACGUCAGAGGUGGAAUUCUUGGAUUGUGUUACGACGAACUACUGCGAAAGCAUUUGCCAAGGAUGUUUUCAUUGAUCAAGAACGAAAGUAAGGGGAUCGAAGACGCUUAGAUACCGUCGUAGUCUUUACCAUAAACUAUGCCAACUAGGGAUUGGAGGGCGUUCUUCAUUCGACUCCUUCAGCACCUUAUGAGAAAUCAAAGUCUUUGGGUUCCGGGGGGAGUAUGGUCGCAAGGCUGGAACUUAAAGGAAUUGACGGAAGGGCACCACCAGGAGUGGAGCCUGCGGCUUAAUUUGACUCAACAUGGGAAAACUCCCC